UGUAGUGUAGCGCAGUGGUUUGAGUGUUAGAGUACAACUCUGGAGAUCAGGGUUCAACUCUCAGCUUGGCCA